rnacentral:rRNA from 1 species
UGCAAUGAGAGUUGUGCUAAGGUAGCAUAAUAAUUCGUCUUUUAAUUGGAGACUGGUAUGAAUGGUUAGACGUGGGUUAACUGUCUCUUGGGGAUAGUGUUAAUUUUUCUUUUAAGUGAAAAGACUUAAGUUUUUGUAAAAGACGAGAAGACCCCGUCGAGUUUAAUUAAAUAGUAGAAUUGUUGUUUUACUUUGAAAGUUUGUUGGGGCAACAUAAGGUGAAAAAAAUCAUCUUAGAGAAAAAUGAGGACCUUUCUUGGAAAAACGCAGCAAAAACUACCGCGGGGAUAACAGCGUUAUCUUUCUUGAGAGAUCUUAUUGAGGGAAAGGUUUGCGACCUCGAUGUUGGAUUAUA